rnacentral:rRNA from 2 species
UGCAGUCGAACGAUGAUCUCCAGCUUGCUGGGGGGAUUAGUGGCGAACGGGUGAGUAACACGUGAGUAACCUGCCCUUGACUCUGGGAUAAGCCUGGGAAACCGGGUCUAAUACUGGAUACGACCUUCUGGCGCAUGCCAUGUUGGUGGAAAGCUUUUGUGGUUUUGGAUGGACUCGCGGCCUAUCAGCUUGUUGGUGGGGUAAUGGCCUACCAAGGCGACGACGGGUAGCCGGCCUGAGAGGGUGACCGGCCACACUGGGACUGAGACACGGCCCAGACUCCUACGGGAGGCAGCAGUGGGGAAUAUUGCACAAUGGGCGCAAGCCUGAUGCAGCGACGCCGCGUGAGGGAUGAAGGCCUUCGGGUUGUAAACCUCUUUCAGUAGGGAAGAAGCCGCUCCUUUUUGGGGGUGGUGACGGUACCUGCAGAAGAAGCGCCGGCUAACUACGUGCCAGCAGCCGCGGUAAUACGUAGGGCGCAAGCGUUAUCCGGAAUUAUUGGGCGUAAAGAGCUCGUAGGCGGUUUGUCGCGUCUGCCGUGAAAGUCCGGGGCUUAACUCCGGAUCUGCGGUGGGUACGGGCAGACUAGAGUGCAGUAGGGGAGACUGGAAUUCCUGGUGUAGCGGUGAAAUGCGCAGAUAUCAGGAGGAACACCGAUGGCGAAGGCAGGUCUCUGGGCUGUAACUGACGCUGAGGAGCGAAAGCAUGGGGAGCGAACAGGAUUAGAUACCCUGGUAGUCCAUGCCGUAAACGUUGGGCACUAGGUGUG